GAUGAACGCUGGCGGCGUGCCUAAUACACGCAAGUCGAGCGAACGGACGAGAAGCUUGCUUCUCUGAUGUUAGCGGCGGACGGGUGAGUAACACGUGGAUAACCUACCUAUAAGACUGGGAUAACUUCGGGAAACCGGAGCUAAUACCUGAUAAUAUUUUGAACCGCAUGGUUCAAAAGUGAAAGACGGUCUUGCUGUCACUUAUAGAUGGAUCCGCGCUGCAUUAGCUAGUUGGUAAGGUAACGGCUUACCAAGGCAACGAUGCAUAGCCGACCUGAGAGGGUGAUCGGCCGCACUGGAACUGAGACACGGUCCAGACUCCUACGGGAGGCAGCAGUAGGGAAUCUUCCGCAAUGGGCGAAAGCCUGACGGAGCAACGCCGCGUGAGUGAUGAAGGUCUUCGGAUCGUAAAACUCUGUUAUUAGGGAAGAACAUAUGUGUAAGUAACUGUGCACAUCUUGACGGUACCUAAUCAGAAAGCCACGGCUAACUACGUGCCAGCAGCCGCGGUAAUACGUAGGUGGCAAGCGUUAUCCGGAAUUAUUGGGCGUAAAGCGCGCGUAGGCGGUUUUUUAAGUCUGAUGUGAAAGCCCACGGCUCAACCGUGGAGGGUCAUUGGAAACUGGAAAACUUGAGUGCAGAAGAGGAAAGUGGAAUUCCAUGUGUAGCGGUGAAAUGCGCAGAGAUAUGGAGGAACACCAGUGGCGAAGGCGACUUUCUGGUCUGUAACUGACGCUGAUGUGCGAAAGCGUGGGGAUCAAACAGGAUUAGAUACCCUGGUAGUCCACGCCGUAAACGAUGAGUGCUAAGUGUUAGGGGGUUUCCGCCCCUUAGUGCUGCAGCUAACGCAUUAAGCACUCCGCCUGGGGAGUACGACCGCAAGGUUGAAACUCAAAGGAAUUGACGGGGACCCGCACAAGCGGUGGAGCAUGUGGUUUAAUUCGAAGCAACGCGAAGAACCUUACCAAAUCUUGACAUCCUUUGACAACUCUAGAGAUAGAGCUUUCCCCUUCGGGGGACAAAGUGACAGGUGGUGCAUGGUUGUCGUCAGCUCGUGUCGUGAGAUGUUGGGUUAAGUCCCGCAACGAGCGCAACCCUUAAGCUUAGUUGCCAUCAUUAAGUUGGGCACUCUAAGUUGACUGCCGGUGACAAACCGGAGGAAGGUGGGGAUGACGUCAAAUCAUCAUGCCCCUUAUGAUUUGGGCUACACACGUGCUACAAUGGACAAUACAAAGGGCAGCGAAACCGUGAGGUCAAGCAAAUCCCAUAAAGUUGUUCUCAGUUCGGAUUGUAGUCUGCAACUCGACUACAUGAAGCUGGAAUCGCUAGUAAUCGUAGAUCAGCAUGCUACGGUGAAUACGUUCCCGGGUCU
rnacentral:rRNA from 1 species